GUAACAAAAAAGAGGUCGCUGGCCUGGUUUUUCACGUGUUUACAAAGUGACAACUGAUAAAGAGAGACAGUGAAUGACGUGACGGCAAGAAGAUGUCAGGAGACGAAAAAACGAGGAGAACCAACUUCAUCACGUUGCCAGACGACACCCCUGGUUACAGACUGGACGAGUUCUGUAUCCCUAAACAUUAUGAAGAGGAUUUAUCCCGGGUCCUAAUUCCAGCAGGUCUAAUUAAGGAUAGAAUUGAGCGACUAGCUCGUGACAUUGUGGAAGAUUUUGAUGAAGAUGGAUUGGUGGCUUUAUGUGUGUUAAAAGGUGGAUACAAAUUCUUCACUGACCUUCUGGAUAAAAUCAAAGGACUCAACAGGAACCUUGGGAGAUCCGUCCCUCUCGCUGUGGAUUUUAUUCGACUUAAAAGCUACGUGGAUGAUCAGUCCUCUGGACAGAUAGAGGUCAUUGGAGGAGAUAAUCUGAAAAACCUUAAGGGCAAGAAUGUUUUGGUUGUGGAGGAUAUUAUAGACACAGGGAAAACCAUGCAGAAGUUACUGGCUCUGUUACAGAAUGUCAAACCCAAGUGUAUAAAAGUAGCCAGUAUGCUUGUGAAGAGAACAACAAGGAGUUCUGGAUAUAAACCUGAUUAUACUGGGUUUGAAAUCCCUGAUAUUUUCAUUGUGGGGUAUGCCUUAGAUUACAACGAAUACUUCAGAGAUCUUAAUCAUGUUUGUGAAAUUAAUGAGGCAGGCAAGAAGAAAUAUGCGUCAAAAUAACGACAACCUUAUUGUGUUAAUGACUGAUGAUAUUACAGCCUGGAACUGUUAUCUACAUUAGCAAAUGUUAGCUUAAAUAACAAUGGUUAUACAGAGAUUACGUGCUGGAUUAACAGUAAUUAUCUGAGAUUACAAAGUGUCAUAAGACGGGCAAAUCAGAAUGAAUUAGAUUCUUUGUGGUCAUACCGUUUACCGCUCUUGUUUUUCAGAAAUUGGUUAAUUUCUUAAAAUCUAUCUAUGUGAAUUAAAAUAUUUCUUCUCUUUUCAACUAAAAACCUGAAUAUUAUUCCA